UUAAGACCUUUCAGGAAGAAAUGAGGCAGGGAUAUGAGUAUUACAAAAGCCCAAUUAGUUUGUUCACCAAAAUAAAACAAUAAAAUAAAUAUCAAUGAUAUUUUAUAUUAGCAAUAGUGGAUAUCAGGCAAUUAACUUCCUUUGUGAUCUCAAGAUGAAGAUGAUAACACAUCAAUGAAAAUGCUUGGUCAUAGCAGUAGUAACAGGGAAAGAAUAGAGAAAAUUGCAUUUCAUCUGAAGAGAUGUAAGCUCAGUCUUCUGCUCCUCUUUCAUCCCCAGCACACAAAUCACCACAUCAUCAGAGCCAUCAGAGUCUGAAUCCCAAGGUUUAACCAUCUGUGUGUGGCAUAUCUACUUCCUGUUUUUCUGUUUGCAGAACGGGUUUGAAUGACAUGUUCCAUCUCCCCCAAAACUCUGCUACUGCAACUGUCCUAAGUCCAGUCCACCAAAGGACCUCUUUCUUUUGAAUCACUGUGACAAUUUCAUUUGUGGAGUAGAUACUUGAACAUUCUUAGAGUUCUGGAUGUUAACGUAUGCUGGCUUCUUUUAUUGCCUUUUGAUGUGAUCACAUCUCCAAAAUAUUUCUAAACUAUCUUUUGACGGUGAGAGUCUAACAAUUCAGUAAUGUCACUUAACUCAAUGUCUUCGAGGCCUUCACUACUCAAAUGGUUUGCAGAUGUUACAACAUUUUCAAUUUCUUCUACUACUGGAAGGAAACCUUCUGAAUCAGUCACAACCUCAUUCCAAAAUUUCUGCCAGACUUCAUUAAGUGUUGAUUGUUUUAUUUGUCUCACUGAUUCUUCUACACCUGUUAAAGCAUUACAAAUGGAGAAAUUUUGCCAAGCCACUUUCACAGUAAAGUUCUGGUGUCUCCGAUAAGAUCUGCGAGUAGUCGAAAUACAGGCCGAGCGUAGUACAUCAGAAACUUUAGCACUCUCAGAUGCAUGAGUUGAAGGAGUGGAGUCGUACUGGGGGUAAUGGAGAUGACUUGAACACAAGGAGCAGCAUUUAUGACUGCAUUUUUGUCUGUAGGAGCAGUGUCCAGAAUCAGCAACACUGUGAAGUCAAGAUUUUUUACUCUUUUAAAUAUUAUUUAACCUCAGAACAAAACACUUCAAAGACCAGUUCAAAAAGAGUUUCUCAGUGAUCCAUAUUUUAUGGUUUCCCUUCAUGUAGACAGAAAAGUGUUUCUGGCCUUCUCUUUUAAAAAGGCAACAAUUUUGGAAUCUGUUUAAUCAGAACACACUGGAACAAAGCAGAACUUCGAGUUUGUCUUUUCCAGGCUUGAAGCCUCUGGUCCUUUUCUCAUGCUUUGCAAUAGAUGUGCAAGUAGGCAUUUGCUUCCAGAGUUUCAGCAGCACUGACAACCUGCUCAAGCAAAUUGCCAUUUUCCUCAAUCAUCUUCUUCAGGUAUUCA
rnacentral:lncRNA from 1 species